UGAACGCUAGCGACAGGCCUAACACAUGCAAGUCAGGGGCAGCACGAAUCAAGCUUGCUUGAUUUGGUGGCGACCGGCGCACGGGUGCGUAACAGGUGUGCAAUCUGUCCAUAAUCGGGGAAUAGCCCAGCGAAAGUUGGAUUAAUGCUCCAUGUGAGUUUUAGAGGCAUCUCUUUAACUUGAAACUAAAGAUUCAUCGGUAACGGAUGGGGAUGCGUGACAUUAGAUAGUAGGCGGGGUAACGGCCCACCUAGUCUACGAUGUCUAGGGGUUCUGAGAGGAAGGUCCCCCACACUGGAACUGAGACACGGUCCAGACUCCUACGGGAGGCAGCAGUGAGGAAUAUUGGUCAAUGGGCGGGAGCCUGAACCAGCCAAGUCGCGUGAGGGAAGACGGCCCUACGGGUUGUAAACCUCUUUAGUCGGGGAGCAAAAAGGAUCACGCGUGGUCCAUUGAGCGUACCCGAAGAAUAAGCAUCGGCUAACUCCGUG
rnacentral:rRNA from 1 species